UGGUGAGUACAAAAUAAGCUUUUGUAGAGCAAGAGUUCCUGACAGUCUGUUGUCAUUUAUAACAGAUAUACUUGGUAAUUGACUCAGAGGAAGACAAUUGCAUCUGCUGAUUCAGGUGUUAACCUUUCAGGAAGUCUUCUUUCUAUAGUGUCAGCAGCAACUCCAACCUGUCAGCUCAGCAGUACUUUACAACUAUUGCAGCUCACUUGGUGUGUGAUAGGGAAGAGAGCAGCAAGAAUGAUACUCAUGCUCUUCCAGGACUGUGAAAAAUGUGAUAUGAGUGGCCAGUUGUUUCUAUAGGAACAAGAGUGCACACCUAUGCUCCAAUUGUUCCUCUGAAAGAAUACAGGUCUUCCGUAGGUCCAGCGAAGACCUUGGGCACCCUAGGGCACAUCAAAUAAUUUCAAAUACCGCUGCAGACAACAGAACCUUUUAUUUGGGAUUUGUUCCUUUUUUUCUUCAUUCCCCCCCCCCCCCGAAAAUAGUCAUGUAAAGUGUAUAAAAUAGUCAUGAAAAAGUCCUACAUGUA
rnacentral:lncRNA from 1 species